rnacentral:tRNA from 1 species
AGGGGCAAUGGUCGGGAUAGCUCAGCUGGUAGAGCAGAGGACUGAAAAUCCUCGUGU